CCUACGGGAGGCAGCAGUGAGGAAUAUUGGUCAAUGGGCGUAAGCCUGAACCAGCCAAGUCGCGUGAGGGAUGAAGGUUCUAUGGAUUGUAAACCUCUUUUAUAAGGGAAUAAAGUGUGGGACGUGUCCUAUUUUGUAUGUACCUUAUGAAUAAGGAUCGGCUAACUCCGUGCCAGCAGCCGCGGUAAUACGGAGGAUCCGAGCGUUAUCCGGAUUUAUUGGGUUUAAAGGGUGCGUAGGCGGCUUGUUAAGUCAGCUGUGAAAGUCUGUGGCUCAACCAUAGAAUUGCCGUUGAAACUGGGGGGCUUGAGUAUGUUAGAGGCAGGCGGAAUGCGUGGUGUAGCGGUGAAAUGCUUAGAUAUCACGCAGAACCCCGAUUGCGAAGGCAGCCUGCCGGGCCAUAACUGACGCUGAGGCACGAAAGCGUGGGGAUCAAACAGGAUUAGAUACCCUAGUAGUC
rnacentral:rRNA from 1 species